GACGAACGCUGGCGGCGUGCUUAACACAUGCAAGUCGAACGGAAAGGCCUGCUUUCCCUUGUGGAUUGCGGGUACUCGAGUGGCGAACGGGUGAGUAACACGUGAGUGAUCUGCCCCCAACUUGGGUAUAAGCCUGGGAAACUGGGUCUAAUUCCCGAUAGGACUGCAGGGUGGUGCCUGUGGUGGAAAACGAUUUUCUAGUGGUUGGGGAUGAGCGCGCGGCCUAUCAGCUUGUGGGUGGGGUAAUGGCCUACCAAGGCGGCGACGGGUAGCCGGCCUGAGAGGGUGGACGGCCACAUUGGGACUGAGAUACGGCCCAGACUCCUACGGGAGGCAGCAGUGGGGAAUAUUGCACAAUGGGCGGAAGCCUGAUGCAGCGACGCCGCGUGGGGGAUGACGGCCUUCGGGUUGUAAACUCCUUUCGACCGCGAGGAAGCCACCUGGUUGGAAGGGUGGUGACGGUAGUGGUAGAAGAAGCACCGGCUAACUACGUG
rnacentral:rRNA from 1 species